AAAAGGCCUAUGGGAUCCACUCCUGAUUUAGAGGAACAGUGGAUCAAAAGCUGAAGGUGACAAUUCCUAAGGGAUUGCCUCCUGUGAAAGUGGAUGCAUUUCACGGUAAGACUCACUCAGGAGGCACAUUUCUCCCUCUUACAUAUGUUUCAUACUUCCACUUUUAUUGGAAGUACUGAGCAGUGCAAAAAUUCAGGUGUGGGACUUGAGCAGACAGUGACAGUUCAGAAGGAAGUCCUGCUAUUCUGUGAUGAUGCAGUUUGUCUAGAGUUUUGGCAGCUACUGCCACCCCAUGGUUUCCCACAAGGGACGAAUGCUGCAGAGCUUUUAAAUGUUGCGUUUCUCCAGAAACCUCUCACAGGUCAGAGAGAAGACAACAAACACUCAUUUUUGUCUUACCCCCUUCUUCCCUAUGUCCCCUUUUCAGUAAAAGCCCCUCCGCAAAUAAAAGCAAGUAUGGCAUGAGCAGCAUUGCUUUGGUUUAGCACGGAUGAGUCCCUUCCACUGGAUUUACAACUGUGUAAUUGAAUAUUAAUUUUGGCUCCCGGGAGUUUUCACUGAUUAUAUCUGCAUUGGCAGGAAGUAUUUUGCAUUCUUCAUUUAUUUAUUUAUUUUUUUUUCCAGGAACUUCAAAACACAUAUCUGGAGAAAGCUUUUGAAACCCAUUUCUUACAGUUGCUGCUGCUUUGGGAGUUUUUGUUUACAUCAUGGAUGCCACAUACAGACAGAUCUGGGUUAAAGCAAGCUGGUCUGAGCGGUGUCCUCUGAGUGUUGCUUCCAGCAGAGCUUUG